rnacentral:rRNA from 1 species
CGCGCACAAGAAAAGCUUGAUCGACUAUGAAGAGGGUGAGCCGUACCUGAAACCGACACAGGUAGGUGAGUUGAAUAUACGAAGGGGCGCGAGAUACCUCCCUCUAAGGAACUCGGCAAAAUGGCCCCGUAACUUCGGGAGAAGGGGUGCCUCCACUGGAGGUUGCAGUGAAAUGACUCAAGCGACUGUUUAUCAAAAACAUAGGUCUCCGCAAAGUCGCAAGACAACGUAUGGGGGCUGACGCCUGCCCAGUGCUGGAAGGUUAAAGAAGCUGGUUAGCUCUGCGAAGCUAGCGACUGAAGCCCCAGUGAACGGCGGCGGUAACUAUAACCGUCCUAAGGUAGCGAAAUUCCUUGUCGGGUAAGUUCCGACCUGCACGAAUGGUGUAACCAUGGCCACGCUGUCUCCACCCGAGACUCAGUGAAAUUGAAAUCGCAGUGAAGAUGCUGUGUACCCGCACCUAGACGGAAAGACCCCGUGAACCUUUACUACAGCUUGGCACUGAACAUUGAACCUACAUGUGUAGGAUAGGUGGGAGGCUUUGAAGCACAGUCGCUAGAUUGUGUGGAGCCGUCCUUGAAAUACCACCCUUGUAUGUUUGAUGUUCUAACAUUGUUCCCUUAUCGGGAAUGUGGACAGUGUCUGGUGGGUAGUUUGACUGGGGCGGUCUCCUCCCAAAUAGUAACGGAGGAGCACGAAGGUUAGCUAAUCACGGUCGGACAUCGUGAGGUUAGUGCAAUGGCAUAAGCUAGCUUAACUGCGAGACAGACACGUCGAGCAGGUACGAAAGUAGGUCAUAGUGAUCCGGUGGUUCUGUAUGGAAGGGCCAUCGCUCAACGGAUAAAAGGUACUCCGGGGAUAACAGGCUGAUACCGCCCAAGAGUUCAUAUCGACGGCGGUGUUUGGCACCUCGAUGUCGGCUCAUCACAUCCUGGGGCUGAAGUCGGUCCCAAGGGUAUGGCUGUUCGCCAUUUAAAGUGGUACGCGAGCUGGGUUUAGAACGUCGUGAGACAGUUCGGUCCCUAUCUGGUGUGGGCGUUGGAUGAUUGAUGGGAGCUGCUCCUAGUACGAGAGGACCGGAGUGGACGAACCGCUGGUGUUCGGGUUGUCAUGCCAAUGGCAUUGCCCGGUAGCUAUGUUCGGAACGGAUAACCGCUGAAAGCAUCUAAGCGGGAAGCCGGCCCAAAGAUGAGUCAUCCCUGACCUUUAAGGUCUGGAAGGGUUGUUAUAGACGAUGACGUUGAUAGGCAGGGUGUGGAAGCGUUGUAAGGCGUUAAGCUAACCUGUACUAAUUGCCCGAGAG